AAUAAAUUGACUGAAUAAAAGUAUUAGUUUUUUAAACUAAAUUAUAAUAAAAUUAAUUA
rnacentral:tRNA from 1 species